rnacentral:rRNA from 1 species
AGGUUUCCGUAGGUGAACCUGCGGAAGGAUCAUUACUGAGUUGUCGACACGAGUUGUUGCUGGUCCUCAAAUGGGGGCAUGUGCACGCUCUGUUCACACAUCCACUCACACCUGUGCACCCUCUGUAGUUCUAUGGUAUGGUGGACAACACUGUCCUCCUCCUGUAGUUCUGCGUUUUUACACCUACACUGUAGCAAAGUCUUAUGGAAUGUGCGCCGCGUUUAACGCAAUGCAAUACAACUUUCAGCAACGGAUCUCUUGGCUCUCGCAUCGAUGAAGAACGCAGCGAAAUGCGAUAAGUAAUGUGAAUUGCAGAAUUCAGUGAAUCAUCGAAUCUUUGAACGCACCUUGCGCCCCUUGGCUAUUCCGAGGAGCAUGCCUGUUUGAGUAUCAUGAACACCUCAACUCUCACGGUUUGCCGUGAUGAGCUUGGACUUUGGAGGUUUUUGCUGGCCCAUGGUCAGCUCCUCUCAAACGAAUUAGCUUGCCAGUUUUUGGUGGCAUCACAGGUGUGAUAACUAUCUACGCUUGUGGUUGUCCGCUGGGUAACCUUUCGGCGACGGAGGUUUGCUGGAGCUUAUAAACGUCUCUCCUCGGCGAAGACAGCUUUUUGAACGUUUGAUCUCAAAUCAGGUAGGACUACCCGCUGAACUUAAGCAUAUCAAUAAGCGGAGGAAAAGAAACUAACAAGGAUUCCCCUAGUAACUGCGAGUGAAGCGGGAAGAGCUCAAAUUUAAAAUCUGGCGUGCCUCUGGCCGUCC